rnacentral:rRNA from 1 species
AGAGUUUGAUCCUGGCUCAGGAUAAACGCUGGCGGCGUGCAUAACACAUGCAAGUCGAACGAUGAAACUUAAUUGAUUUCUUCGGAAUGAAAAUAAGUGGAUUAGUGGCGAACGGGUGAGUAACACGUGAGUAACCUGCCUUACACAAGGGGAUAGCCUUUGGAAACGAAGAAUAAUACCCUAUAAAGUUAGUCAAUCGCAUGGUAGACUAACCAAAGAUUUAUCGGUGUAAGAUGGACUUGCGUCUGAUUAGCUAGUUGGUGAGAUAAAAGCCCACCAAGGCGACGAUCAGUAGCCGGCUUGAGAGAGUGUACGGCCACAUUGGGACUGAGACACGGCCCAAACUCCUACGGGAGGCAGCAGUGGGGAAUUUUGCACAAUGGGGGAAACCCUGAUGCAGCGACGCCGCGUGAUUUAGAAGGCCUUCGGGUUGUAAAAAUCUUUUUUAUGGGAUGAAAAUGACAGUACCAUAAGAAUAAGGUCCGGCUAAAUACGUGCCAGCAGCCGCGGUAAUACGUAUGGACCGAGCGUUGUCCGGAAUCAUUGGGCGUAAAGGGUACGUAGGCGGCCUAGUAAGUUAGAAGUGAAAUAAUAUAGCUCAACUAUAUAAAGCUUUUAAAACUGUUAGGCUUGAGAGAUGAAAGGGAAAGUGGAAUUCCUAGUGUAGCGGUGAAAUGCGCAGAUAUUAGGAAGAAUACCGGUGGCGAAGGCGACUUUCUGGUCAUCAUCUGACGCUGAGGUACGAAAGCGUGGGUAGCAAACAGGAUUAGAUACCCUGGUAGUCCACGCUGUAAACGAUGAUUACUAGGU